AUGCAAGUCGAGCGAACGGACGAGAAGCUUGCUUCUCUGAUGUUAGCGGCGGACGGGUGAGUAACACGUGGAUAACCUACCUAUAAGACUGGGAUAACUUCGGGAAACCGGAGCUAAUACCGGAUAAUAUUUUGAACCGCAGGGUUCAAAAGUGAAAGACGGUCUUGCUGUCACUUAUAGAUGGAUCCGCGCUGCAUUAGCUAGUUGGUAAGGUAACGGCUUACCAGGGCCACGAUGCAUAGCCCACCUGAGAGGGUGAUCGGCCACACUGGAACUGAGACACGGUCCAGACUCCUACGGGAGGCAGCAGUAGGGAAUCUUCCGCAGUGGGCGAAAGCCUGACGGAGCAACGCCGCGUGAGUGAUGAAGGUCUUCGGAUCGUAAAACUCUGUUAUUAGGGAAGAACAUAUGUGUAAGUAACUGUGCACAUCUGGACGGUACCUAAUCAGAACGCCACGGCUAACUACGUGCCAGCAGCCGCGGUAAUACGUAGGUGGCAAGCGUUAUCCGGAAUUAUUGGGCGUAAAGCGCGCGUAGGCGGUUUUUUAAGUCUGAUGUGAAAGCCCACGGCUCAACCGUGGAGGGUCAUUGGAAACUGGAAAACUUGAGUGCAGAAGAGGAAAGUGGAAUUCCAUGUGUAGCGUUGAAAUGCGCAGAGAUAUGGAGGAACACCAGUGGCGAAGGCCACUUUCUGGUCUGUAACUGACGCUUAAUGUGCGAAAGCGUGGGGAUCACACAGGAUUAGAUACCCUGGUAGUCCACGCCAUACACAAUGAGUGCUAAGUGUUAGGGGGUUUCCGCCCCUUAGUGCUGCAGCUAACGCAUUAGGCACUCCGCCGGGGGAGUACGACCGCAGGGUUGAAACUCAGAGGAAUUGACGGGCACCCGCACAAGCGGUGGAGCAUGUGGUUUAAUUCGAAGCAACGCGAAGAACCUUACCAAAUCUUGACCUCCUUUGACAACUCUUGAGAUAGAGCUCUCCCCUUCGGGGGACAAAGUGACAGGUGGGGCAGGGUUGUCGUCACCUCUGGUCCGGGGAUUUUGGGUUAA
rnacentral:rRNA from 1 species